AGAAGCUAUACUUGAAGCAAUCUCCACUUCUGCAAUUUACUCUGAUACUAUUUUCGAGGACCGACUAGAUCAACUUCGUGGGUUCAUAGUUGUGUACAAACGUGACUUGAGAGUUGAGAUUAUGUGUUUGAUGGUUUUCGUUCCACAAAAUGCGUUAUCCAUUGAACUGCAAACUAUGAACAAGAGGAUGAAAUUGUUUUCUUUUGGGAUCCGGUAAAUCCAAAAGUGGUAUCAAAACUUUGAGCUCAUGAUUUACUGAUGAUAUACAACCUAAGUGUGAGUUACCACCCUAAUGAAGAUUGUAUGUUGAGGCAUUCAAAUACCCUUCGUGUGUGUUUUGUAUUACAUCACAUGAUGAAGAUUGGUUUGCUAUUGGUUGCAUCAGCGGGACUCGACUCACGAGUACGGAGUACCUCCCAAAAUGAAUGAGAGAAGAUGGGGAUAUGUGGCAGCUUAAAAAUAACUCAAACUCAUAGAGUUUAUUCAAAUUUUAUCAUUUAGUUUGUUUUUAAAAAAACGAAAUUAUGGGAACAG